UCCCUGGUAGCUUAGCGGUAAAGCAAUCGCCUGUUAAGCGAUGGACCGUAGGUUCGAAUCCUACCCGGGGAG
rnacentral:tRNA from 1 species